UACGGAGGGGGCUAGCGUUGUUCGGAAUAACUGGGCGUAAAGCGCGCGUAGGCGGAUCAGAAAGUUGGGGGUGAAAUCCCGGGGCUCAACCUCGGAAUGGCCUUCAAAACUCCUGGUCUUGAGUUCGAGAGAGGUGAGUGGAAUUCCGAGUGUAGAGGUGAAAUUCGUAGAUAUUCGGAGGAACACCAGUGGCGAAGGCGGCUCACUGGCUCGACACUGACGCUGAGGUGCGAAAGCGUGGGGAGCAAACAGG
rnacentral:rRNA from 1 species